rnacentral:rRNA from 1 species
GUGGGGAAUUUUGGACAAUGGGCGCAAGCCUGAUCCAGCAAUGCCGCGUGCAGGAAGAAGGCCUUCGGGUUGUAAACUGCUUUUGUACGGAACGAAACGGCUCUGGUUAAUACCCGGGGCUAAUGACGGUACCGUAAGAAUAAGCACCGGCUAACUACGUGCCAGCAGCCGCGGUAAUACGUAGGGUGCAAGCGUUAAUCGGAAUUACUGGGCGUAAAGCGUGCGCAGGCGGUUUUGUAAGACAGGCGUGAAAUCCCCGGGCUCAACCUGGGAAUUGCGCUUGUGACUGCAAGGCUGGAGUGCGGCAGAGGGGGAUGGAAUUCCGCGUGUAGCAGUGAAAUGCGUAGAUAUGCGGAGGAACACCGAUGGCGAAGGCAAUCCCCUGGGCCUGCACUGACGCUCAUGCACGAAAGCGUGGGGAGCAAACAGGAUUAGAAACCCUUGUAGUCC